CGCCUCGCGGAGGUCUCGGAUGCAAGCAUCAACCUUGUUUAUGUCAACUGCUGCCAAUAGACCCCCCGCGGUCUGCGGGUCGUAUAUGAGCGGAUAGCGAGGGUUUCCGGACAUUUCGUCUUGGUUCGCCACCGCCCUCGACAAGCGCACGUUCGCAGGCUGCAGGGACGACGUGAUCCCCCAGACAACCAGGAGGUUUGCCUAGAAGCAGCCAUCCUCAAAGGAGUGCGUAAUAGCUCACUGGUCGAGCGAUCCUGCGCCGAAAAUGAAUGGGGCUAAGCGUUAUACCGAAGCUGCGGAUAAAUUUAUUUAUGGUAGGGGAGCGUUCUAUGUUGGGUGAAGCGUUAGCGUAAGCGGACGUGGACGGCAUAGAAGUGAGAAUGUCGGCUUGAGUAGCGAAAACAUUGGUGAGAAUCCAAUGCCCCGAAAACCUAAGGGUUCCUCCGGAAGGCUCGUCCGCGGAGGGUGAGUCAGGUCCUAAGGUCAGGCUGAAAAGCGUAAUCGAUGGAUAACAGGUCAAUAUUCCUGUACCAGUUAUGUUUUGGGAAGGGGGACGGAGAAGGCUAGCCAGGCCAGAUGUUGGUUACUGGUUCAAGCGUUCAAGGCUUUGAGAGAUGGAGAAAACAUCUUGAGCUGAGGCGUGAGUACGAGCUGCUACGGCAGCGAAGUUGGUGAUGUCAUGCUUCCAAGAAAAGCCCUAUACCCGUUAAGACAUAAAUGCCAGUACCCGAAACCGACACAGGUGGGGUGGUAGAGAAUACCGAGGGGCGCGAGAUAACUCUCUCUAAGGAACUCGGCAAAAUGGCCCCGUAACUUCGGGAGAAGGGGUGCCAGCGAGAGCUGGUCGCAGUGAAGAGGCGCAAGCGACUGUUUACCAAAAACACAGGUCUCCGCUAAGUCGCAAGACGAUGUAUGGGGGCUGACACCUGCCCAGUGCCGGAAGGUUAAGGAAGCUGGUUAGCUUUUAGCAAAGCUAGCGACUGAAGCCCCGGUGAACGGCGGCCGUAACUAUAACGGUCCUAAGGUAGCGAAAUUCCUUGUCGGGUAAGUUCCGACCCGCACGAAAGGUGUAACGAUUUGCGCGCUGUCUCGGAGAGAGGCUCGGCGAAAUAGAAUUGUCUGUGAAGAUGCGGACUACAUACACCCGGACAGAAAGACCCUAUGAAGCUUUACUGUAGUUUGAUAUUGUGCUCGGGCUCUAAUUGCGCAGAAUAGGUGGGAGACGUUGAAAUAGUACUUGUGGGUAUUAUUGAGUCAUCGGUGAGAUACCACUCUAUUAGAGCUAGGGUUCUAACGCUUACCCGUUAUCCGGGAAGCGGACAGUAUCUGAUGGGCAGUUUGACUGGGGCGGUCGCCUCCUAAAAGGUAACGGAGGCGCACAAAGGUUCCCUCAGGCUGGUUGGAAAUCAGUCGUUGAGUGCAAAAGCAGAAGGGAGCUUGACUGUGAGACCUACAAGUCGAACAGGGACGAAAGUCGGUUUUAGUGAUCCGACGGUUCUGCGUGGAAGGGCCGUCGCUCAACGGAUAAAAGUUACUCUAGGGAUAACAGGCUGAUCUCCCCCAAGAGUUCA
rnacentral:rRNA from 1 species